rnacentral:rRNA from 1 species
AGAACGAACGCUGGCGGCGUGGAUAAGACAUGCAAGUCGAACGCGACUUACCGCGAUAGCAAUAUCAUGGUAAGUUGAGUGGCGAAAGGGUGCGUAACACGUGGGAAUUUACCAAAAAGUGGGGAAUAGCUCGGCGAAAGCCGAAUUAAUACCGCAUGUGGUCGCAAGACCAAAGCCGGGGACCGCAAGGCCUGGCGCUUUUUGAGAAGCCCGCGGCCCAUCAGCUAGUUGGCGGGGUAACGGCCCACCAAGGCUAUGACGGGUAGCUGGUCUGAGAGGACGACCAGCCACACUGGAACUGAGACACGGUCCAGACACCUACGGGUGGCAGCAGUCGAGAAUUUUUCACAAUGGAC